UCCAUCCAGGAGAAGUCUGUCUUCUGCAGUGACUGUAAGUUGUCUUUUCAAAUAUUGAAGAUGAUGUUGAGUCCAUACAUUGAUAUCACAGACAUGUGCACAAAGUAACAACAAUUACAAUGGCGACUGUUUGACAAGAUGAACAACUAAGAGGGUCUGACAACUUGGCAACCUACACGCCAUAAUCAUGCAUUCCACCUGCUAUUUUCCAAAUCAAAACAUCAGGGCUACAUUGCUCCUUGUCUGUGAUCAAUUUGAGGGAGUAUCACCCAAACCAUGCCGAAGAAAACAAGUGAAUCUGUGAGUGAAACUGAGCCUCCUCCUGUACUAUCGCCACAGGCUACACUACACGGCGAAGUUGCGUCAAUUUCCGACACCGAGCGAGAGACAUUUGAAAGCUGAAAUUCGUGCUGGGCAUGUGGAAUUGCGUGAUCGUGAAGACAACUUGGAAGCCAACAUCAACGAAACAAUAGAGUUCUAGAGUAAGCUUAUCGGUGAUCUAGAAUCCAAGAUGGUUGACCAUGAUCUGCUUGUAUCGAAGAUGGCAAAGGCAGAGAAAAUCAUCGCGGAUCAGGCACAGCAACUCAACAAGCUGGAACACUUCUCCUGCAGGAAUAAUUUGAGAAUUAUUGGCCAGCCACAAAAACCCGGAGAGGACUGCUUAGCCCAGCAAAGAAGCUAUUGAGUGACAAGUUCGACAUGGCCGAAGUUAAGCUGGAAAGAGCUCAUCUCAAUGACCCCAAAUCUGAUGGGAAAUCGCAACACCUACUGAUGAAGUUAAAUUGCUACCAGGAUAAAAUCUCGAUCCUACAGCGGCAACACCAAGUCUUGUCCAGCAAGCCAUUCUACUGCACAGAUGACCUGACCAAGAUCAAUCUCAAUGAAAAGAGACCGUGGUCUGCACAUGCUGCUUAAGCCUAUCAAGAAGGCAUCAAGUACCAUUCUGUGGCUGCAAUCCUGGCAGGAGGAACUCCCUUGUGUUGGCUGCAUCAGAGGCUCCGCUACAAAAUGCUGACCAACCAUAGAGGGCGCUAUUACCAUUCCAUGAAGCCUGCUACAUCCCACAAUGGUGUAAUGGAAAGAGGGAAAAAAGAACUGAACCCUGCCUGAAUUCCCUAAUUUACAGCACAGCAGUAGCGCCCCCACUCAUCCAGAAAAGCUGACAAAUGUUAAUGUCUAUAGCAAGAUACUGAAAACAGUAAAAUAUUUUCUAAAUUGAAAAAUUCAGAGGACGUGACGUUUCAAUCCUAGCAGAAUCUUUCUCCAAGUUAUGUGUUCAAGUUUCAACCAACACAGUUGAAUUUUUAGUGACAUGUACGAUAUAAAACUGAGCAUUUGGAAGUAUAAAUAUAAAAAGGUUUGCAAAUAUGUUUGACCUAAAAUAUAGUGAAAUACAUGCAAGGUCUGAAUAUUUAGUGUAUUCUCCCUUUCUUAACACAUUGAAAUUUGUUUUUGUUAUUUAAAUACAUGCAAAUGUGCUGUGCCCUCUGACCUUUUUUGAAA